AGGAGGGACAGCAGUCUCUGCACUCUUUCACUUGCUCUCUCUCUCGAUCCCUCUCUCUCUUGCUCUUUCUCUCUCUCUCUCUCUCUCUCUCUCUCUCUCUCUCUCCCUCCGCAACUGUGCCACGAGCUCCGGAUCCCUCACAGUGAAGCAGGCGUGCUGGAGUGCACACGCUCAGGAGGGAGCCGCGGAGCCCAAGUUCACACGUGCGACGCGGCACAACCGGGAACCCGCGGGCUCACCCAAGGGAUGUAGGAGGUCCUCCGUGCAGCUUUUGUGUGUGUGUGUGUGAGUGUGUGCUCGCCACCCCUGCCCUCCUCCAUCCUUCCAACAUCACUCUUGCCAAGGAGCGACGGCGAGGGACCGGCUGGGAUGACCUGGGUGACUGGCAGAGCGCGGGAACACCUCUACAGGCUGGCUAGUUGGGGGUCUGUCUGAUUCCCCCACCCUCUGGCUCCACCUUCCAAUGGCACGGUCGCCUGUGGUCAGCCAUCAUAUGGAUCCAGGGUCCCCCAUAGAGACAGUGGCCAGCUCCCUCUGUUCAGAAGCCAGUCCGACCCAUGAUAUCGAGAGCCACGUUACCGGUUUGUGGACACCAGAAAAACUAAUGAAUGUAACAAAGUACCUAAAACCUGAAAAACACAGCCGAG
rnacentral:lncRNA from 1 species